rnacentral:rRNA from 1 species
AUUGAACGCUGGCGGCAGGCCUAACACAUGCAAGUCGAGCGGAUGAAGAGAGCUUGCUCUCUGAUUUAGCGGCGGACGGGUGAGUAAUGCCUAGGAAUCUGCCUGGGAGUGGGGGAUAACGUCCGGAAACGGGAGCUAAUACCGCAUACGUCCUACGGGAGAAAGCAGGGGACCUUCGGGGCUUGCGCUUUCAGAGGACUCUAGGUCGGAUUAGCUAGUUGGUGAGGUAAUGGCUCACCAAGGCUACGAGCCGUAACUGGUCUGAGAGGAUGAUCAGUCACACUGGAACUGGGACACGGUCCAGACUCCUACGGGGGGCAGCAGUGGGGAAUAUUGACAAUGGGCGAAAGCCUGAUCCAGCCAUGCCGCGUGUGUGAAGAAGGUCUUCGGAUUGUAAAGCACUUUAAGUUGGGAGGAAGGGCAGUAAGUUAAUACCUUGCUGUUUUGACGUUACCGACAGAAUAAGCAACGGCUAACUUCGUGCCAGCCGCCGCCGUAACAC